rnacentral:lncRNA from 1 species
AAAAUGUUGCAUUCAAUUUUAGAAUGUGAAGAGAUCACUUGAAGCCUAUCCAGAGGCCUCUAAGAUGUCUUAAAACUAUUUAAGGGGAUCCAUGCAAAAUGUUGUUCCCUUAAAAGAGGGCACAUCUCUCUCACGUGGAGAAACACUGGUAAGAGGAAAAGACUUUGAAGUCAACCAACUUGACGUGGUGUGCAGGUGCUGCAAUUUACUUCAGACAAUGCAUCUAUAAAAGAAAGAUAAGAUCUCGGCUGGCAAGAUGGCCGAAUAGGAACAGCUCCAGUCUGUAGCUCCCAGCGAGACUGAUGCAGAAGUGACAGGAUCUCACUCGGGCACCUAGAUGGGAGUGCAGUGGCAUGAACUCCUGGGCUCAGAUGUCCUCCCACCUCAACCUUCUGAGUAGCUGGAAUUACAGGAAUGAACCACCACGCUCAGAUUUCAAGCUCCCUGAAGAUGAAGGCUGAAUCCUACACCUUGCUUGUAUCCUCCAUGGCUCAUUGAACAAGUGCUAGCUACAUGGAGACUGCUCAAUAAAUAUUGAAUAAUUCA